CUGGCUCAGGAGUGGUGCCAGUCCUGGAAAACUGGCCCGCGAUUGGCUGGGGGGAGGGCCAAAGUGGGGGCUCCCCAAGGAGGGAGUUUCAGCUCCUUAUUUCAAGCCUGGCCUCUGGCCGAGCAACAUCCCUCUGGCUGCAGGCCUUCUGGGCCUCCUUCUGGGUGGUGGUGAGAGUCUGCCACAAGGACAGUGGGAGAAAAACCAGCGGUUUUGCCGCAUAAGUCUCCCCAAGUUUGGAGGAAGAACUGAAUUGUAUGUGUGGCGGAAGAGCAGGACAGCCCACGGCCUCACGAGUUUCCAUGUGCCUCCGAGGCCCCCAUUCUCUGCCUUUUGGGGGCUCCAGCUUUGAGAAAGAAGAGUUUGACAUUUGGGGUGCACUGUUAAGGCGAGCAGGAAACACGAAACCGGAUGACCCACCCAUGGUUCUGACUUGCAGGAGCCCCCACACCCACCUUUGGGCAGAGUUCGCCUGCCCCCAGAGCGGGCACGGGGGGGGCACCCUCGCCUUUGGAGCCUCCAUCACCCCCACCUUUGGAUGAUCGGGGCCUUCUUUUGGUAAGCGUCUGGGAAGCUCGUGGGGGGCUGAGGUGGGUCAGCCCUUGUGUCAGGGGCGCGAGGCCCCCAUUCUCUGCCUUUUUGGGGCUCCAGCUUUGAGAAAGGUCAGUGAUGAAAAAUAGAUAUUUCCCCCCCUUGUUUUAAAACCAGUGGAGAGUUCUGAAGGAGAGCUGGUCUGGUGGUAGCAGGCAGGCAUGGUCCCCUUUGCUAAGCAGGAUCUGCCCUGGUUUGCAUUGGAAUGGGGGAUUACAAGUGUGAGCACUGUCAGAGAUGCCCCUGAGGGGAUGAGGAAUCCACUCUGGGAAGAGCAUCUGCCUGCUUGCAUGCAGAAGCUUCCAAGUUCCUGCCCUGGCGUCACCGCAGGGGUCCACAAAUCUAGGCUUGGCUCACUUGCCGGCCUUCGCCUGUGGUCGCCCCCCUCCCCCCCGUCCCCUCUCUUCCCUCAUCUCCCUUUCUGGGAUGCAGGCAGAGGGCUUAGGCGAGAAGCCCGCCUUCUGCGCCGGGAGAGGGCAAGAAACAGAGGGAGCCCUCUCUGACUCCUCCGAAAGGAUUCCCGCGAUCUCGUACCGUCUCAGCAAUGACGGAGGAAGGGAGACCUUGGGAGCGGAGAUUUGUGUAGUGCUGGUGGGGAGAGGCUGGAUGAUAAAGAUUGCCAGUCUUGAAAAGGAUGCCCUUUCACAUGUGCAAGUCUGUCUUUGAAGGCAAUGCCUGUGGGGAUCAUUGGAAAACAAUGUACUCCCCCCUCCCACCCACCCUCCCACCCACUUUAAUCUCCAGGAUUAACACACUGGUAGGAUGAUUUCAGUGGACGGAGGUGGCUGUAAUUGGGUGACACUCAUAGGAGGAAUUGGAGAGGCAGAAGCGAGGAGAGGAGAGCAUGACGUGUCCCCUUAGCAAAGCAGAGUCCGCCCUGGUUGCAUAUGAAUGGGAGACUAGAAGUGUGAGCACUGGAAGAGAUUCCCCUCCAGGGAUGAAGCCGCUCUGGGAAGAGCAUCUAGGUCCCAAGUUCCCUCCCUGGCAGCAUCUCCAAGGUAAGGCUGAGAGAGAUUCCUGCCUGCAACCUUGGAGAGGCCGCUGCCAGUCUGUGUUGACGAUACUGAGCUAUAUUGACCAAUGGUCUGACUCAGUAGAUGGCAGCUGCAUGUGUUUCUAGCUACGGCGGCUGCCGGCCGGCCCACAAGGGUGUGAUGCCCAGCACUCAAGCGAGGUGCCUUCUCUUCCUCUGUCUCCCUCCAGGGUCCUUGACCCCCGCCUUCUCCAUCGGGGCAGGCUCCAAGGUGGAGGCCCGCCAGCGUCUGCAGGCCCUGCGGCAGCACACGCAGGAGAAGUAGCGCGGCUGGACCCGCACGCGCUCCUGGCAACCUAGUGAGAGGCCUCGCCUGGGCCUCUGAGCCCAAGCGGGGCUUAUCCCAACGCGGGUCCUCCUCGGCGGGACAGGCCUGGCAAGCCGCCUCUGUGGCAUCCCCCGGACUUGGGGUCACGGAGUGGUUUUUACCCCCUCGAAUGGACAGGAGAAACCAAGCUCUUUUUACUUGAACAGUCAAUGAGCAGGACUCUGUUCAGGGCCGGCUCUAGGGGAUCUGGCGCCCUGAUGCAACACACUGUUGAGCGCCCUUAGUUAUUGUGAAAAAUAAAAAUUCGAAAUACAAUUAGUGUGUAUUCACAAUUUAAUACACAAAGAUUUUAUGUAAUUAUGUACAUAACAUUGUAUAUUAUUAUUAUUAUUAUUAUUAUUAUUAUUAUUA